CAGCCGCCACGGUAAUACGUAGGUGGCAAGCGUUGUCCGGAAUUAUUGGGCGUAAAGCGCGCGCAGGUGGUUUAAUAAGUCUGAUGUGAAAGCCCACGGCUCAACCGUGGAGGGUCAUUGGAAACUGUUAAACUUGAGUGCAGGAGAGAAAAGUGGAAUUCCUAGUGUAGCGGUGAAAUGCGUAGAGAUUAGGAGGAACACCAGUGGCGAAGGCGGCUUUUUGGCCUGUAGCUGACACUGAGGCGCGAAAGCGUGGGGGGCAAACAGGAUUAGAUACCCCCGUAGUCCCUGUCUCUUAUAC
rnacentral:rRNA from 1 species